rnacentral:lncRNA from 1 species
UGGGGUCCCUGAUGUCAACUUCGGGGCCCUUGAGGUCGCCUUCCACUUUGGGCAGAGAAAUGUCCAUGUCGCCCUUCACCUUUGGACCUUUCAGAUUCAGGUCAACUUCAGGCAUAGAGAUCUUCGGUGCCUUGAGGUGUAAGUCAGGCAUUUUAAAUUUGGGGCCCUUCAGUUUCCCUUCUGGACCAUGAAUAUCAAUAUCAGGAGUGUCAAUGUCCACUUUGGGUCCUGAGACAUCAAUGUCAGCUUUGGGCAAAUUAACAUCCACUUCUGGGCCCUCUCCUUUAAAUCCUGGCAUGCUGAAUUUGGGCAUUUUCACCUUGGGCAUCUUCAGGUGCCAGUCUGGACCCUGAACAUUAACAUCUGGGACAUCAAUGUCCACUUUGGGGCCUUUGAGGUCAACUUCAGGACCUUUCAGAUCUCCCUCUACC